GAUCAAUUACAGAAAUAAACACCCUUCUUCUCCAGCCUCUGACUCUGGUUUCAAGACUGCACCAGGAAUUAUUUGGUGCCAGGACUGAGCGGGGCAUCGGAGAAGCAGAGAAGAGCAAGAUGUGCCUGCUCCUUGAAAGAGCAGUGAACCCAGCAAAGAGGCAGACACGCAGAAGGGUGGAUAAAUAUGUUCCCAGCCAGCUUGUCAUGGAUGACUGGGCAGUAUACUGAAGUGCCCAGAGCUGGAGUGACCACCUCUACCUACGGCUGUCAGGGAGCUGGGAGAUUCACAGAACCCUACAAAGUCCCUGGAAGAGGGCUGUCUGAAUAUUAUCCAUCACAUGAGUAAAGGGAGAAAAAGCUGAGAACUUCUGGAGAAGGCUGAAUUCCUGCACGGUCCAGGAUAAGAAAAGAAAAAGAGAGCACAAGCACCCUAUGACAAAAAAAC